rnacentral:rRNA from 1 species
UACGUAGGGUGCGAGCGUUAAUCGGAAUUACUGGGCGUAAAGCGUGCGCAGGCGGUUGUGUAAGACAGGUGUGAAAUCCCCGGGCUUAACCUGGGAACGGCGCUUGUGACUGCACGGCUAGAGUACGGCAGAGGGGGGUGGAAUUCCACGUGUAGCAGUGAAAUGCGUAGAUAUGCGGAGGAACACCGAUGGCGAAGGCAAUCCCCUGGGCCUGCACUGACGCUCAUGCACGAAAGCGUGGGGAGCAAACAGGAUUAGAUACCCGAGUAGU